CCUGAGGAGGACGAGUCGCUGGCAGUAUUUAACUGCUUGAGGAAAGUCCGGACUCCGCAGGGCAAGGUGUCCGGGUGUAAUACCUGGAAGGGUGUGAGCAAAUCACACUGAUGGAAAGUGCCACAGAAAAUAAACCGCCAGUGGCUUAGCUAUUGGUAAGGGUGAAAAGGCGGUGUAAGAGACCACCGUAGCAUGUAGAGAUGCAUACUGCAAGGCAAACCCCACUUGGAGCAAUACCAAAUAGGAAAUGGCUUAUUUACGGCCCGUAGAUUUGCUUGACUCAGUCAAGUAGCCAUUUCGGGUUGGUAGCGUUAGACGAAUGACUCGAAUUCUCGAAAGAGAAUACAGAAUCCGGCUUAUGAAUCCACAGGUCCG
rnacentral:RNase_P_RNA from 1 species